rnacentral:tRNA from 1 species
CAGAGGGUAGUUUAAUUAAAAUUCCAGCUUUGGGAGUUGGCGUCAAAGGUUUGAUUCCUUUUCCUCUGA